GGGAAGGUGGCUCAGUAGUAGAGUGCUUGCCUUGCAUGCAUGAGGCCCUGGGUUCGAUUCCUCACCACCACA
rnacentral:tRNA from 1 species